rnacentral:rRNA from 1 species
UACGUAGGGGGCAAGCGUUGUCCGGAUUCACUGGGCGUAAAGGGUGCGCAGGCGGCCGAGUGUGUGAGGCGUGAAAGCCCGGGGCUUAACCCCGGAAUUGCACCUCAAACUACACGGCUAGAGCAUUGGAGAGGGUAGCAGAAUUCAUGGUGUAGCAGUGAAAUGCGUAGAUAUCAUGAGGAAUACCAGAGGCGAAGGCGGCUACCUGGACAAUUGCUGACGCUCAGGCACGAAAGCGUGGGGAGCAAAAGGG